GAACCCGCCUGUCCCGGGUCGCCGGGCCGCCGCCCUGCCUCGAUUAUGGCUUGGAGUCGCCUGGGCCCACCUGGUUUCCCUUCUCUAAGCAUCACAUCACGCACUGUCCGUUGUCCAGCGUCUGAAAUCCACUGUUUCGUACAUUUCUUUGGCUUUUUAGUCGUUAGAGCGUCCAUGAGCCCUGUGCCAUCAGGCGUCCUGGGAUGGAGCACACGACCAGCCUCAUCUUAGCAGAAAGUCUCGGUGUCCUGGCCACAGUGACUUAUAGCUGGCAAGCACGUGGGCCUGAGCGGGUCUGAUCAGAUGGACUCUGUCUACUUGUGGGAGCUACAGGGAACAUUCCUUUAUUCUUCCUGCUGAGUGCAGGAACAAGGGAACACGUGAAACUGCAGCUGCGCUUCUCCUCACAGGGUGAGAGCGGGAAGCUGCUGGGGGACUGUCCUGAACCUCAGAAGGGGAUUCAACAGGAAGUGGUGGAGAUUUGGACAGAGUCCAAGCCUUGAUCUUUCUAAAACAUAAGAAGAUUAUGAAAACAGUGAAGUAUUGUUCCUAGGCGCACGGUGAGGAACGUCUCAAGUCAUCUGUGAUGAAAGACUCUGCUGUAAAAGGCAAAGCUGAAGCGAAGGGAUGUGAAACAGCUUUUUGACCAGGCACUUUCAUUUACGUUAUGACCCAUCCAUUUGGCUCCUGGUUAUACCUCUGUCAGAGCUGGAAAUGACAUCUACACUUCCUCGUGCUGUGGAAGUAAAGAAAGACCGACCAGGAAGACGUGCUGUGGACCAAGGGUUUUCUAUCAAGAGGGCGUUGGCCACCAGGACUUGCGUUCAGCAGAGCCUGGAAGGUGGGCAGGAGUGGAAGGGGGAGGCUCCGUGUGCCCUGCUGGCGGCUGUGGGCAGAGGAAGCUGGAGGCGGGCUGCAUAUGACAGACGUGGGGCAUCUGAUGUGCCUGGUUUGGGGCACGUUAGCCUUUCUGCUUUGCCCUGACUUGACAGGAUGGAUAAAACACACCAAAGCUGGUGUGGGUCAGUCCUGACUGCCCGGCCUGAUGGCUGCUGAGGCUACGGGCUGGCUUCCUGGCUGGUUGCUGCCAGACUGUGGGUCAGCAUUCUGUUAUCACAUACGGUCUGGCUGUUGUCUGUCUGUAUGCUCAGUCCCUCCACAACUCCAUGUCCGUUGUCUGGUCGCAGUAAUGUCCCAUUACAGCCCCUCUCCACCCCGGACUCAGGGGGCUUCCAGCAGUAAGACUCAUCUGGGCUGUGAGUAAGUCCACAGGUUGGCGAUUUGGGCUGGGCUUAGCCGGAGGCCUCAGCGGGGACGACUUCUUACACGAACAGGCAGCUUCCUAAGGAAGAAACCGAGAAGCGCUCUCAUUCACAUGGCCGCGGUGGCCUUGGCCGCGGGCUGAGCUAGGCUGGCUGGGGUCCCUCAGUCCUGCCCCA